UUAAGCAGGAUGCUGCGUUUGGGGACGCGACUGUUUAUCUAGGAUCCUUGAGGAAGUCGCCUGGGCGCUGUCCCCUGCUCUCGGCCACCUGCGAGGAGAGAUUACACAUGUAAGAAAAAGGAGUAAGUGUCACUCUUAGAAAAGGAGAUCACAGCCCGGGGAAGCUGAAGCAGGAGGACUGCUUGAGUCCAGAAGUUCGAGACCAGCCUGUGCAACAAAGGCCUGGAGGAAGCCAGAAGCUAACGUUCUUUUCUGCUGAUCCCAAGUUUUGAAACAAAGCUUCUCUUCAUUAACCAACUGCAAAUCAGAAAAUCUUUGAAUCUGCCUAUAACCUGUGGGCCGCCACUUCAAGCACAUCUCAAAUCAGACCUAAACAGAUUUCUCAAGAACUACGUGUGACUAGUGGCUACUGUGAAGCCCUGGACAGUAAAACAUAAGAAUAUGAAACUUGAUCUUCUUUACCCAUAGCACAAGUAGGUGGAAAAGGAGGACUUUAGGAUGAAACUGACCACAACUAAUGGGAAAAAAAGAACUGGGUCCUCACUGACAUCAUUGGAGUCACUGGAUCAAGCUGCACUUGAAAUCGGCAUGACCUCAGAAACUCAGUUAUGUGAGCCAGUAAGCUCAAUUUACUGUUUAAAUGUAUCCUAUCACUGUUUAAAUGUUGUCCUAUCACUUCCGACAAAAGAAUCUGAACUGACACAGAGAGUGAUCAAUAAUAUAAAGCAAUUUAUUAUAUGCCAAAACUGAAGAAUGGACAGUAAGCAUCAAGUGUGCAGAGAAAGGAUAAAUCAACUUGAGACUAGCCUGGGCAACAUAGCGAGACCCUAUUUAAAAAAAAAAAAAA